CAAGUCGAACGAUGACGUUCCUUCCGGAAUGGAUUAGAGGGGAACGGGUGAGAAACACAUGUCAAACCUGCCUUUCUUUUGGGGAUUACUCCGGCAAACCGGAGCUUACACCCAAUACUCCGCCUCGGCGGAAUCCUUGAGCCCUUCAAAACUUUUGAUGAUGGAUGGUCUCGCGUCCUAUCAGCUAGUUGGUGAGGUAAUGGCUCACCAAGGCGACGACCGGUAGCCGGCCUGAGAGGACGACCGGCCACACUGGAACUGAGACACGGCCCAGACUCCUACGGGAGGCAGCAGUGGGGAAUUUUGGACAAUGGGCGCAAGCCUGAUCCAGCCACUCCGCGUGAGGGAUGAAGGCCUUCGGGUUGUAAACCUCUUUCACUAGGGAAGAAGCCUUAUUGACGGUCCCUAAAGAAGAAUCACCGGCUAUUUAUGUGCCACCCCCCGCGGUUAUACAUAGGGUGCAAGCGUUGCCCGGAAUUAUUGAGCGUAAAGAGCUCGUACGUCGUUUGCCACGUCGAUUGUGAAAAUCUGAGGCUCAGACUCAAACCUGCCGUCGAUACCUGAAACUAGAGUGUGAUACUACAGACUGGAAUUCCUGGUGUAGCGGUGGAAUGCGCAGAUGUCAGGAGGAAUGCAAUGGAUAAGGCAGGUCUCUGGUCCAUAACUGACACUGAUGAGCGAAAGCGCGGGCAGCGAACAGGAUUAGAGGGCUGGUAGUCCGCGCCGUACACGAUGAGCACUAGCUGUGAAAACCGUCCACGAGUUGCUGGACGAGCAAAUCUCUUAGUGCGCAGCCUGGGCAGUACGAUCGCAGAUGGAGACUCACAGGAAUAGAUUA
rnacentral:rRNA from 1 species